GCCCCCACCCCUGCUCCUUUUGGACAGUUAGUUGCACCGCAUUUCUCCAGCAGCCUGCAGCGCUGCACAGAAUCCAGCUCAGGACAGGCUAAGAUGCUGCCAGACCUGAUUAUCGACUGUGAGGAGGACAGUGCAGGAUGUCAGAGGUUCACUGAUAAACUGGUGAAAUGGCAAACACAUAGCAGAAAGCCCUGUUCCUUCAGUGAUGCCACCAGGGGCAUGGUGCGAGUGUCCA